CCCCCGCACUCUGCGCUCCCAUCCCUCGCUCCUCCCGCCGCUCCCUCUCCUCUCCCUCCCGCCCCGCCUCUCUCUCUCCGUCCAAACCCUCCCUAACCCACGCCCGCCUCCCUGCCCCGCCGCCAGCCGCAGCCGCCGCCGCCGCCGCUCGCCGCGUCUCCCUCCAAACGCUCGCUGCGCCCGCCUCCUUGCCCCACGCCGCCGUCAUCUCCGCCGGCGCCCGCCUCCUCCGCCGCCUCCUCUCCACCGCCGCCGAGGUGGCACGGGAGGUGGCGCCCCCCGCGUCGUGGGCGUUGGCGCAGCCGCAGGUGGGGGCGGCGGCGUGGACGGAAUUGGGGCAGGGGCGUUCUUCGUGGCCGCAUCAGGCGUGGGCGCUGCCACAGGCGAAGCAGCAACAACAGUGAGGCUGUACACGGCGGAAGGGGAACAGGCGGGGUACACGACCAAGUGGGAGGAGCUCCGUCCGGUUUCGCAGCACCUUCUCCUGCAAAUCGAGGAGAAGAUAAGGGAUGAGAGGCAUGUGUGUGAGCAGGUGGAACAAUAACUGGAUGCUCGUCAGAUUACCCAGGUUUGGUUUUAUUCUCAGGGUGCUUUGUUCUUUAAUUUGCAGAACAUGUUUGAACAACGUUUCAGCCUUCACGGAUUAGUGUAGUAGCCUAACCAUUGCAGAAAAGGGGAAGAAAGUUAAACUGAACCUAAAUUCAGAUAUAUUUUGAUGAACGUCCAGUUAUCUGCUUGAAGAACAAAGGGUGCUUAAUACUGGUUUGGUUUAUUCUGUGAGCAGGUGGAACAAUUCAGGAUAAAACUGAACCUAAAUUCAGAUAUAUUUUGAACUAAUCAUAUAUUAGUUCCAAUUAGAUUAUAUGAGCAUAUCAGACUAGAUGGUCUCCUAGACCUUUAGAAGUUGAUAUUCUCUAUUUUUGGCCACAUCAUUUUUGUAAAAAUAGUAGAGUCGCUAACACAUCUGCACAACCUAUGGCUUAUUACAUAUAUAUGCUUGGUCUUCUGUUCUGCACAGCGAAACCAUGGGUUUUUUAUUCUAAGAAAAUGAUGUAUAUUGGUGUUGUAUCCACAAGAUCUAUGUAAGUUAGAAAUUUAGAAGUAAUGCCUUCCAUGGAAAUACAAGCAUUAUUUUAUUUCGUGGUAUGAUGAAAAAGUUCACCCUAGGUCCACUUGCUUUUAUUUGUUGUUUUUGUUCCGAUAAUGUCUGAUUUAUAGUUUCAAUUUCAUCAGCACAAAUAGACUCAAUGGUGUAAUGAUUCAGUUUCACAUAUAUUUUGUCAGUAUGGUAUUUAUGAUUUUUUUCCAUGAUCCAAGAUAUCAGAUUUAUGAGCUUCUGUUACUUGAUGCAAUUUCAAAAAGUGUCGGUAAGGUAAAAAUGAUCUAGAAGCUUAUUGCAUUCGAAAGUAGUUAUCGCAAGAAGAAGCAUGAGACACUAGCAGGUAUAUAAUGUCUAUUCUGCUUUCUAUUUGUUUUUUAGGUUCAGAUUACAAAUUCUUGCAUGAUGUAGAAGUUUCAACCGAAUGGUGCACCCUCAAAAUUGUGUUUUGUUAUGCACGAUGCAAGCUUCAGCAGCGCCACACCUAGAUUUUGAAUGGCUCAUAGCAGACUGUAUAUGGCUAACCUAUUGUAUGGCAUUCUUAUUUUUUGUCUAUAUGCAUUACUUCUAGAUUUACUUCUAUUGUUGCGCCAUCACAUGGAUCAAACACACUAAAAUAUGAUGUUGAUCUUGCACAAAAGGAAGAACGGUGGUGUCACAUAAGCAUGGCUCGACCUAGCCUUGAUCAUGGUAGCCUCUUAGGUGUUCCUACUUGCUACUAUCCAUGCUACCUGAAAACCCAGCUUAUUUCACCACCAGCUCCAAAGCAACGCCAGAAUGUAGGCAUCACCGUAUAUAAUUUUAUUGCAUAUUGCUCAACUCCUCUAUGAAUUUGCUUACAAGCGUGUGUGACUACACUUGCUAUGCACAUGUACUAUAGACAAGUCGGCAGGACCUCACAUCACAACACCUGAGUGAGUCUGGCAAGGCUUGCUCGCCAUGGCCUACCGCGUCGGCGAGACGGGGCGAGCACGUGAUCACCAUCAACAGGUCCUUUGUCACAACACCCUAGCAAGCGAGAUGUUUAGACAAAGAUAUAUGAUACAGUACUAUCAACAUAUGUCAUAGACGAACAAUAUAUAUCCUUCUCUUCACAAGCACAAGACUUGAUUUUGAUAAAUUGUGUUACCAUUUCUGCGGCAUCAACAUUUGGAAGGACACACCAUCUGAAUCCUCUAUAAUAACUGAACCAUUACUAUUACAAGCAACCUCCCACAUCUUCCUUCCAAAAAUUCAGAUGAUGGUUUAGUUGUUUAUAUACAUGUGCCAUCUCUUAUGUCUGAAAUAUAUAUUCUACUACCGGGCUGGCUGGCACCUGGCAGGCUGCACUUCCUAUCUACUUGUGACGCCCCAUCAUGUUGGUUUACAUUUGGAGCAAAAAUGCUGCUGAGCAUUUGGUGUGACUGAUUGCACUAUCCAUUUAGUGUUGUCUGGACAUAUGCUAUGUAGUGGACACAAUUAUUUAGAAAAAUGUCAAACCUUAACAUUUACAGGAAGCUUUACAUAUGUUUGGAUUAUGGGUCUGCUGUAGGUUUGCAUAGAUAAAUAAAUAGCACUCUUGCUAUCAAAGUGUGUGUUUCAUGGGCCUUUCUUUGUUUGAGGGAAAUAACUCAAUUUUUGUAUCAGCCAUACUUCUGCUAUAUAUAUGGAAACAAUCAGUGUCUAUUUCUUUUUUAUCUGAACUGAGACAUAAUUCUACUAUAUGUAAACAAUCAUUGGUUCUUUCUUUUUUAUCUAAACUGAGAAAUAACUCUAAUCAAUUGUUUUUUUAUUUAAUGUCUAAGUAUCUUCCUUACCCAAAACUUGUGCCAAAACUGGUAUUUCUUUCAUGUGUGCCUUGUGCCAUAUAUUAUCCAACCCCCUCUACUUCUGUACAGUUUUUUGUGGUGAAAGAUUACUGGCACCAUGUGAAUCUUAAGCUCCACCAUUUCCUAAUUUUUCUCUCCUGGUCGCCUCUAGGUUUCCUGGCAAGGCGAUGGUGUAUGAACCCUAUGCGCCUGCCUAGCUGUAUUGCGGCUCGAGGAUGCGGCGGAGGUGGCACAUGAGCAGAUGAAAGAGGAAUAAUUGAAGCCCCGAUGCCUCACACAUUCUUGCUCCCUGAUAAUGGAAGUACUAGGUUUCAAACUCCUUCCCCUUCCCUGAUAUUUACAAUUCCUUUUCGGUUAGCCAUCACCGAUGUUGACUGUUGACUGAAAUAUUUAGUUCUGUUGCUGGACACCUAAUAUCUGCACACGGUGUGUCCGCCAGCUGAGCGGCAAGCCGGAGCUGCAAGUCGCUGAACAUGGUCGUGCUACUGGCAACUCACUUGGGCAUGUAGUGAGGAUGGCUUAUGUUCAAGCACCUAAUGGAAUGUAUGCUUUUCCUUGAUGCUCCGUUCCUAAGAAAUUGCAUGAAGCUGGUGUCUGGUGAGCAAUCUGGCCUUGACCAUAGAGCCUUUCGUUUCUUCCGCAGUUCAUGCUUUAUAGAAGUGUCUACAUGCAUUUUCUAACUUGUGUUGCACCUACUUCCUGCGAAAUUCUCAUGCAUUGUCUCGAUAGCGAGCUAUUUAGCCAAAUGAGGUAUUCAACUGGACUACAUAUUUAGAUUCUUAGAUGAGCUAGACAGUGCCUGCAUUGUCUAGACAGCUACCUAGCAAAAUGAGUUAUUCGACCGAACAAUUUUGUUCGGAUGAUUGUCUUGGUGUUAGUAACCUAUGUAUUCAGAUUCCUACAUGAGCUUGAUAGAAAUUUGAAUAUGUAGGUGCAGUCUCACACAAAGAAAGAGAAAAGAUUCGGUGUCAACGACUCAUGAAUGGAAAUAAAAACACGAGCGGGAAUCAUUUACUGUUUUCCCUACCUUAGAGUAUAAUUAUAUGAUCGCUUCACGGUUCUUUCCCUGAAGAUGUUUGGUAUAUGCUCAUCUUGUGCAUUUUACCCUUUAGCUAAUUGCCCCCCCC
rnacentral:rRNA from 1 species